UGUGUAGGUCACCUAAAUCAUCAGAAAAAUUGCCCCUCCUGAGAAUUUUUUCAGGAGCCGCCACUGAAACUGAAUACUGAAUCAUGGACGGUAGUUCCUGUUACACUGCCGACACCUUGUAGGCCUAGCUAACCACUAGAGAGCAGAGAAGGCGACCACAUAUUUUCUACCAAACUGUGAGAAACUACUGUAGUUUGUAAUAGUGGCCACAACCAAAACAUCGGAUACAAUCAAUUCAACUCCAGCCAAUGUUAAUUCCAGUUCCACUCUGUCAAAAUAUACCCUUUUUUUUAUAUCUCUGGUAUCUAGGAAAAUUACAGACAGCGAGAUUAUGUUACCUGAAUUACUUUCAAUGUAUAUUUUCAAACAUUGUUAUAGUGCCCGGGAAAUCCCUGCCCAGGAAAGUAUAAAAACACUGAGAGGUGAAGCAAGACAUACAAAAUAAUUUGGAUAAACCAAGGAUGAACAUUGUUAUAACCAUGACGCCAAACACCAAGCUUUGUGAGUAACCUAUAGCAUUUAUCGCUUUCUCUUCUAACGAAAUUAUUGUUAUAAAGUAGCCUAUUUAUUUUACUUUUAAAGUUAGAAUAGGUUAGGAUAACUGAUUUUAUUUUUUUCCUGCAUGAGAAUAUUGCAAAAGCUUAUGGAAAAAAAUAUAGGGGGCAAAUGUCUUUGUAUAGAAAGUGUUCGUUUUAAGUAUUUGUUCUAUCUUCUUCUUGAACCUUUCAGAUUUGGAGUUGAACACCAGAACACACACGGUGUCAGUAUGCACACCAAUGGCUGCCCAACAGAACUCAACAUGUUCUGGAGUCACAAACUCAGAGUUUGAUCAGGACAUGUGUCUGAGGAACAUUGAGGAGGAUCUACGUUGGUAAAGUGACAUGCUGCAAGCUAUUGAUCCUAAACUACUUGGACUCACUGUGCUGAAAAACCUCAAAGAGAUUAAAGAGAAUUGCUUCUCCUCGUCUUUGUUGGGAGACUGGUCGUCUCAGCAGGCUACACAAACGCACCACACCGCGUGGCUGCUGCCUC